rfam:Neotoma lepida isolate 417 scaffold_15337, whole genome shotgun sequence.
GCCCGGCUAGCUCAGUUGGUAGAGCAUGAGACUCUUAAUCUCAGGGUCUCGGGUUUGAGCCCCAUGUUGGGUG